UGCCAGACUCCUACGGGAGGCAGCAGUGGGGAAUAUUGCACAAUGGGGGAAACCCUGAUGCAGCGACGCCGCGUGAGCGAUGAAGUAUUUCGGUAUGUAAAGCUCUAUCAGCAGGGAAGAAGAUGACGGUACCUGACUAAGAAGCCCCGGCUAACUACGUGCCAGCAGCCGCGGUAAUACGUAGGGGGCAAGCGUUAUCCGGAUUUACUGGGUGUAAAGGGAGCGUAGACGGCGAUGCAAGCCAGAUGUGAAAGCCCGGGGCUCAACCCCGGGACUGCAUUUGGAACUGUGUGGCUGGAGUGUCGGAGAGGCAGGCGGAAUUCCUAGUGUAGCGGUGAAAUGCGUAGAUAUUAGGAGGAACACCAGUGGCGAAGGCGGCCUGCUGGACGAUGACUGACGUUGAGGCUCGAAAGCGUGGUGAGCAAACAGGAUUAGAUACCCCCGUAC
rnacentral:rRNA from 1 species